rnacentral:lncRNA from 1 species
CUUCUUCUUCACCCUCUCCUUCAACAGAAUCCACACUAACUUCCUCAUAAUCCUUCUCAAGGGCAACCAUGUCCUCAGAAAACUCUCCUUCCUCCAUGCCGUCAUCCACAUACCAGUAAACAAAGGCAUGCUUGGCAUACAUCAGGUCAAACUUGUGGUCCAGGAGAGCCCAGACCUCAGCAAUGGCUGUGGUUUUGCUCAGCAUGCACACAUCUUGCUGUACCUUGGUGGCCAGGUCUCCACCAGGUACCGCAGGGGAAGGCUGGUAAUUAAGCCAUCUUUGAAGCCAGUGGGGCACCAAUUCACAAACUGGAUGAUACUCUUGGUCCUGAUGGUGGCAAUGGCAGCAUUUACAUCUUUGGGAGCCACAUCACCAUGGUACAACAGGCAAUAAGCCAUGUGUUUACCAUGGCGAAGGUCACAUUUCACCAUCUGGUUGGCUGGCUCAGAGCAUGCAUUGGUGAUCUCCGCAACAGAAAGCUGUUCAUGGUGGGCUUUCUCAGUAGAAAUGACAGGGGCAUAUGUGGCCAGAGGGAAGUAGAUG